GCACAAGCGGUGGAGCAUGUGUUUAAUUCGAAGCAACGCGAAGAACCUUACCAGGUCUUGACAUCCCGAUGCUAUUUCUAGAGAUAGAAAGUUACUUCGGUACAUCGGUGACAGGUGGUGCAUGGUUGUCGUCAGCUCGUGUCGUGAGAUGUUGGGUUAAGUCCCGCAACGAGCGCAACCCCUAUUGUUAGUUGCCAUCAUUCAGUUGGGCACUCUAGCGAGACUGCCGGUAAUAAACCGGAGGAAGUGGGGAUGACGUCAAAUCAUCAUGCCCCUUAUGACCUGGGCUACACACGUGCUACAAUGGUUGGUACAACGAGUUGCGAGUCGGUGACGGCGAGCUAAUCUCUUAAAGCCAAUCUCAGUUCGGAUUGUAGGCUGCAACUCGCCUACAUGAAGUCGGAAUCGCUAGUAAUCGCGGAUCAGCACGCCGCGGUGAAUACGUUCCCGGGCCUU
rnacentral:rRNA from 1 species